AUCUAGAUGCUUAACGUCUAGCUGUAUCAAAAACUGUAAACCUAGAGUGUAGUAGGGAGUUGGGGAACUCCAUGUGGAGCGGUAAAAUGCGUAGAUAUAUGGAAGAACACCGGUGGCGAAGGCGCCAACUUGGACUAUCACUGACGCUUAGGCUCGAAAGUGUGGGGAGCAAAUAGGAUUAGAUACCCUAGUAGUCCACACCGUAAACGAUCAUCAUUAAAUGUCGGCCCGAAUGGGUCGGUGUUGUAGCU
rnacentral:rRNA from 1 species